UCCAGACUCCUACGGGAGGCAGCAGUGGGGAAUACUGCACAAUGGGGGAAACCCUGAUGCAGCGACGCCGCGUGAGUGAAGAAGUAAUUCGUUAUGUAAAGCUCUAUCAGCAGGGAAGAAAAUGACGGUACCUGAGUAAGAAGCCCCGGCUAACUACGUGCCAGCAGCCGCGGUAAUACGUAGGGAGCAAGCGUUGUCCGGAAUUACUGGGCGUAAAGGGCGCGUAGGUGGGCGCUUAAGUCAGGUGUGAAAACCACGGGCUCAACCUGUGGCCUGCAUUUGAAACUGUGUUUCUUGAGUACUGGAGAGGCAGACGGAAUUCCUAGUGUAGCGGUGAAAUGCGUAGAUAUUAGGAGGAACACCAGUGGCGAAGGCGGUCUGCUGGACAGCAACUGACGCUGAGGCGCGAAAGCGUGGGGAGCAAACAGGAUUAGAUACCCCAGUA
rnacentral:rRNA from 1 species